rnacentral:rRNA from 1 species
AACGAACGCUGGCGGCAUGCCUAACACAUGCAAGUCGAACGAACCCUUCGGGGUGAGUGGCGCACGGGUGCGUAACGCGUGGGAACCUGCCUUUAGGUUCGGAAUAACAGUUAGAAAUGACUGCUAAUACCGGAUAAUGUCUUCGGACCAAAGAUUUAUCGCCUUUAGAUGGGCCCGCGUUAGAUUAGAUAGUUGGUGGGGUAAUGGCCUACCAAGUCGACGAUCUAUAGCUGGUCUGAGAGGAUGAUCAGCCACACUGGGACUGAGACACGGCCCAGACUCCUACGGGAGGCAGCAGUGGGGAAUAUUGGACAAUGGGCGAAAGCCUGAUCCAGCAAUGCCGCGUGAGUGAUGAAGGCCUUAGGGUUGUAAAGCUCUUUUACCAGGGAUGAUAAUGACAGUACCUGGAGAAUAAGCUCCGGCUAACUCCG